UCUGUGACAAAGAUUAUCCAGAGAAGCCACCAAGUGUACGAUUUCAUACACGCAUCAAGAUGACUUGUGUCAAUCAUGAAACUGGAGUGGUUGAUUCAAAGAAGUUUGGAAUGCUGGCAAAUUGGCAGCGGGAUUUCACCAUGGAAAACAUAUUGAUGCAGCUGAAGAAGGAAAUGACAGCCUCACACAACCGGAAGCUUGUCCAACCACCCGAAGGUACAUAUUUCUAAUGGGAGGCAACUUUGAAGAUUGUCACUGAUCUGUUGAAACGAUGGAUUGGCAUAGGCUGAAUCUCUUUUAUACAUGUACAAUAUUUCCAUUAUUGACAACUUAAGAUAUUUCCAUUAUGGACAACUAGAGGAAAGAAUGGAAAAGUGGUCCUCAAGCUCUUUAGUGUCACUCUCCUCUAUUGUUUUUCUUUUGGAUGAUUCUUGUUUAAACAUUUCUUAUUGAGAAUUUUAUCCAUGUAUUGAGUGAAAUGCAAUUAAAAUCAGUUAUGGAGUGCUAAUUUUCUGA